ACCUGGGUGGCUCAGUCGGUUGAGUGUCUGACUUUGGCUCAGGUCAUGAUCUUGUGGUUCGUGGGUUCCAGCCCCAGGUU
rnacentral:tRNA from 1 species